UGCUAUUCAUCAUCUGCUAAAUAUUCAACUAUUUAAUAUUAUUUAGUUUAUUACUCAACAUGUUUAACACAUAUAAGAUGCAUCUUUAGUGGUUACUGUGAUACAUGUGAAAAUUAAUUAAAGUUUGAAACCUUAAUAAAUAAAUAAAGAAACUUUUCUAUAUGACUAUAAAUCUAAGUUUAUCGAUCUAUGUUAAAUUAAUAUUGCAAAAUUAUAUUGAGAUAAUGUUGUGAAUGUGUAACUAAAUUGGAAUUAAAAAAAAAAAGAUAAACAAAAAUAAAAAACUUUUUAAAUUUAAGCAAUUUGUAAUAUUUUAGACGUUCACUCUUUUCCAUUUAUUAUGAUUUUACAAGUUUACCCAAGAAGCUUUGAACUACCUGUUCUUGAAGAGAAACAGCGGACAAUUUCCUCUUCUAAAAAUGUCAUAUUUCAUUGGGUGGUGCAGAAGCACCUUUGCUGGACAUUGUUGAUGCCAUGGAUUUGUCUCUGUAUGAGAAUCUUUUUGGUGAAAACAGUGAAACAUGCCCUUUUUCUAGAUGUUAGAAGUUUUGAUUCCAGUAGAUAAAUAAGAUGAACUUCGAUGUUGAUGAAGGGAUGAUGGUAAAAUUCUUAAUCAACAUGUUAAAAAAUCAGGUUUGAUUAUUGUUUUCUAUUUCUCUACUCGAACAGGUUUCAUUGGUACCAGAUACAAAUUUUAAUUGCUUUUUGUUUUACAAUAUUUUUAAUAACUAUGGUUUAUCUGCUAUUAGUUAUCAGCAAGAUUUUGACAAGGUUGUCUGGUCAUCCUUCCAUGAUCUAGGGUUAACAGAACCAGUUUUUGUAUACAGUCAACUACACAUUUUUUUCUUGAUAGUCUUCAAGUUUUUGUCCUAUUAGCCAUGUUGACUGUUGAUGUCAUCACUCAGCUUUGGCAUUGUCUAAUGCUAUUAUGAAUCUAUCAGAUGGCGUUUUUACCCCUACACCAUGCAUCCCCUAUUUAUGUCAAUAAAACAUGGUUCUUCAUGGGUUGGCUAUGUUUUGGAAUCAAGAAAACAAGUUGGCGGCUAGAUCUGAAUACUCUAAGUCCAAAGGAAAUAUCAAUCUAACUUAGCACAUGCAAGAUGUCAAAGAUCAAGUCUAAUUUAGCCCUUGGAAGUUGUUAAAAAGUUCAUGUUGAUGCUCAGUUUUAGAGAAGUACUCUGCUAUUUCAGUUGUUCUCAAGCCCUCUCACCUUCAAGCACUUUCUGUAACACCUGGAAUUUCAGGUUUGGGGCUUAUUUAAAGGGCCUUAUGGCUGUCAUUUGUGCUCACCAGUCCCCAGAGUGAAAACCUAGUGAGCUUGAGCGUUUGGAGUGAGAUAAGGAGCCAUUGUUGACCUUGGAGGUGUUAUCUAGCAAGGGAAAGGAAACAAUAGCCAAGGGGAAACAAGAGGAUCAACUUCCUGAAGAUCUGAGGUCCAGAACAUCACGUUUGAGGAGGACUAUAGCUCGGGAGAUCGAGCACUAGUGAUUUCAGGGAUUUGCGAGUUAUCGAGAUACGCGAUGUACUAGUGAUGACCGCGGGAAGGCGCCGGCCUGAUCAGUACACACACGAGAUUUUUAUGUUAUGAGAUCUUGGGAUUUUUAUAUGUUAUGGAUUUGAGUUUCAAACACUGAUGUUUUUAUGAAUGCUAAAUGAAUUAUGCUUUUAUCAAAUGCGAAAAA